UACGUAGGGGGCUAGCGUUAUCCGGAAUUACUGGGCGUAAAGGGUGCGUAGGCGGUCUUUCAAGUCAGGAGUGAAAGGCUACGGCUCAACCGUAGUAAGCUCUUGAAACUGUGAGACUUGAGUGCAGGAGAGGAGAGUGGAAUUCCUAGUGUAGCGGUGAAAUGCGUAGAUAUUAGGAGGAACACCAGUUGCGAAGGCGGCUCUCUGGACUGUAACUGACGCUGAGGCACGAAAGCGUGGGGAGCAAACAGGAUUAGAUACCCUGGUAGUCCACGCCGUAAACGAUGAGUACUAGGUGUCGGGGGUUACCCCCCUCGGUGCCGCAGCUAACGCAUUAAGUACUCCGCCUGGGAAGUACGCUCGCAAGAGUGAA
rnacentral:rRNA from 1 species